GACCAGCUGCUGCCACUUGACCCUGUGGUGUCUCAGCUGCCGUGUCUGUAAUGCCAUCCUCGCAGGGAAGGAGGAAUGUGGUUUAAUUUCAGCUGGAAUGCGCCCUCUGGGCUGCCCACCGCGAGGGGAGGGGACGGAGACCAAGCUUGCACGAGCCCAGGAAACUCAACUGGACUCUGGGCUUGGGGACAGGCCUCCGGGUCCCCUGAGCCCUGCCCCCACCCUGCAGCAGAGGCCCUGCUCCAGGACGGGCCCCACAGAGGGAUGGGUUUCCCAGGGAGCUGGGGAAAAGGAGGCUUCUUGGGUAAAGAAAGGAGCAGGUGCUGGUUCCGCGUCCGAGGGCCCAGCCUAGACAGAAGAGAGUCCCACGGGGCUGAGCGGGGAAGGGACUGAAUGAAGGAGGCGGGGACAGAAGAGCCUCAGGAGGAAGCUCUGCUUUGCGGCCAGCGGGGCGGACGGAGCGGACAGGUCAUCUCAGGAAGGCCCGAGCCGUCCGGGGGAGGCAGACGGAGCGAGGAGACCGGGGUCCCCACUUGGGCUGGGGAUCUGACUGCAGCCCCCAGGGAAGCCCAACAAAGCCAGGAGAAGGCUUAGGCUUCCGUUUCCGGUGGACUUGCUCCAGUGGCGGCAGGUGCCGGGGCCGGGAGGGAGAUGACUCCAGUGGCCGCCCUGUGUGAACCCCGGCAGAUCUCCUCAUGUACACAGCACACGGCGGACCCCUGCUUCGGCUGUGGGGGACACUCAGGGAGGAAGUGUUGGUGGCCCGCUGGGACACCGAAGCCCCCUCCAGCUCCCACCCAGGAGCCCUCUGGGGGGUCCACCCUGCCGUCUCAAGUCCUGUGGGAUCUGCUUUGAGAGAGCCCAGGGACGGACACUGCCCCCUCCUCUGCCUUCUCACCUUCAGGCCCAGGCUUCCAGGGCCACCUUGGUGUUGACCCACUCAUCAGUCCAGCUAAAUGCCUGACAUCCCUAACAAGGCCCUGAGGAGGCAACC